GAUGAACGCUGGCGGCGUGCCUAAUACAUGCAAGUCGAGCGAACGGACGAGAAGCUUGCUUCUCUGAUGUUAGCGGCGGACGGGUGAGUAACACGUGGAUAACCUACCUAUAAGACUGGGAUAACUUCGGGAAACCGGAGCUAAUACCGGAUAAUAUUUUGAACCGCAUGGUUCAAAAGUGAAAGACGGUCUUGCUGUCACUUAUAGAUGGAUCCGCGCUGCAUUAGCUAGUUGGUAAGGUAACGGCUUACCAAGGCAACGAUGCAUAGCCGACCUGAGAGGGCGAUCGGCCACACUGGAACUGAGACACGGUCCAGACUCCUACGGGAGGCAGCAGUAGGGAAUCUUCCGCAAUGGGCGAAAGCCUGACGGAGCAACGCCGCGUGAGUGAUGAAGGUCUUCGGAUCGUAAAACUCUGUUAUUAGGGAAGAACAUAUGUGUAAGUAACUGUGCACAUCUUGACGGUACCUAAUCAGAAAGCCACGGCUAACUACGUGCCAGCAGCCGCGGUAAUACGUAGGUGGCAAGCGUUAUCCGGAAUUAUUGGGCGUAAAGCGCGCGUAGGCGGUUUUUUAAGUCUGAUGUGAAAGCCCACGGCUCAACCGUGGAGGGUCAUUGGAAACUGGAAAACUUGAGUGCAGAAGAGGAAAGUGGAAUUCCAUGUGUAGCGGUGAAAUGCGCAGAGAUAUGGAGGAACACCAGUGGCGAAGGCGACUUUCUGGUCUGUAACUGACGCUGAUGUGCGAAAGCGUGGGGAUCAAACAGGAUUAGAUACCCUGGUAGUCCACGCCGUAAACGAUGAGUGCUAAGUGUUAGGGGGUUUCCGCCCCUUAGUGCUGCAGCUAACGCAUUAAGCACUCCGCCUGGGGAGUACGACCGCAAGGUUGAAACUCAAAGGAAUUGACGGGGACCCGCACAAGCGGUGGAGCAUGUGGUUUAAUUCGAAGCAACGCGAAGAACCUUACCAAAUCUUGACAUCCUUUGACAACUCUAGAGAUAGAGCUUUCCCCUUCGGGGGACAAAGUGACAGGUGGUGCAUGGUUGUCGUCAGCUCGUGUCGUGAGAUGUUGGGUUAAGUCCCGCAACGAGCGCAACCCUUAAGCUUAGUUGCCAUCACUAAGUUGGGCACUCUAAGUUGACUGCCGGUGACAAACCGGAGGAAGGUGGGGAUGACGUCAAAUCAUCAUGCCCCUUAUGAUUUGGGCUACACACGUGCUACAAUGGACAAUACAAAGGGCAGCGAAACCGCGAGGUCAAGCAAAUCCCAUAAAGUUGUUCUCAGUUCGGAUUGUAGUCUGCAACUCGACUACAUGAAGCUGGAAUCGCUAGUAAUCGUAGAUCAGCAUGCUACGGUGAAUACGUUCCCGGGUCU
rnacentral:rRNA from 1 species